rnacentral:rRNA from 1 species
GUCUACAGCCAUGCCACCCUGAACAAGCCCGAUCCCAUCUGAUCUCGGAAGCUAAGCAGGGUUAGUCCUGGUUAGUACUUGAAUGAGAGACCACCUAGGAAAGCCAGGUGCUGUAGGUG